UCAAAAUAAAACAGAGCACAGAACAAAAAGACACUGAAAAGACAGGCGAGACACAAAAGGGCAAAAUGACCAGACUAAAGAUUCAGAACCAUGACAGGAUGUCCAUCAAAACUGUGUCCACUAAACAAGACAUGCAUGUGUCCACAUGAGGCGACAGCACAGUAGUAGGUCCCAGCAUGAGAAAGAUUCAGGCUCUGCAUUGGUCCCAGUGUGUACUGUACAGUUCAGACUCACAGAGUCUCCUGGCUGGAUGAUCUCAGAUGCUGACUGAUAGACCGAAGCUGGGAUGUUCAAACCUGAACCCUUCACACUGACAGUAACACCCCC